rnacentral:rRNA from 1 species
GAAGCCUUCCUCAAGAUGAGAUUUCCCACAAGACCUUUGGUCUUGGUAAGACCCCUUGUAGAUGACGAGGUUGAUCGGCCUGAGGUGUAAGCAUAGUAAUAUGUUCAGCUGACAGGUACGAAUCGGUCGAGGGCUUAACCUA